GAUGAAGAACGCAGCGAAAUGCGAUAAGUAAUGUGAAUUGCAGAAUUCAGUGAAUCAUCGAAUCUUUGAACGCACAUUGCGCCCGCCAGUAUUCUGACGGGCAUGCCUGUUCGAGCGUCAUUUCAACCAUCAAGCCCCCGGCUUGUGUUGGGGACCUGCGGCUGCCGCAGGCCCUGAAAACCAGUGGCGGGCUCGCUGUCACACCGAGCGUAGUAGAUUUUCAUCUCGCUCAGGGCGUGCUGCGGGUUCCGGCCGUAAAAAGCCUUAUUUACCCAAGGUUGACCUCGGAUCAGGUAGGAAGACCCGCUGAACUUAAGCAUAUCAAUAAGCGGAGGA
rnacentral:misc_RNA from 1 species